AGGGGGCGCUUGAAAUUUGGAUGCGAGUCGUACGCUUCUUUUUCCACCGGAGCUUGCUCCACCGGAAAAAGAGGAGUGGCGAACGGGUGAGUAACACGUGGGUAACCUGCCCAUCAGAAGGGGAUAACACUUGGAAACAGGUGCUAAUACCGUAUAACAAUCGAAACCGCAUGGUUUUGAUUUGAAAGGCGCUUUCGGGUGUCGCUGAUGGAUGGACCCGCGGUGCAUUAGCUAGUUGGUGAGGUAACGGCUCACCAAGGCCACGAUGCAUAGCCGACCUGAGAGGGUGAUCGGCCACAUUGGGACUGAGACACGGCCCAAACUCCUACGGGAGGCAGCAGUAGGGAAUCUUCGGCAAUGGACGAAAGUCUGACCGAGCAACGCCGCGUGAGUGAAGAAGGUUUUCGGAUCGUAAAACUCUGUUGUUAGAGAAGAACAAGGAUGAGAGUAACUGUUCAUCCCUUGACGGUAUCUAACCAGAAAGCCACGGCUAACUACGUGCCAGCAGCCGCGGUAAUACGUAGGUGGCAAGCGUUGUCCGGAUUUAUUGGGCGUAAAGCGAGCGCAGGCGGUUUCUUAAGUCUGAUGUGAAAGCCCCCGGCUCAACCGGGGAGGGUCAUUGGAAACUGGGAGACUUGAGUGCAGAAGAGGAGAGUGGAAUUCCAUGUGUAGCGGUGAAAUGCGUAGAUAUAUGGAGGAACACCAGUGGCGAAAGGCGGCUCUCUGGUCUGUAACUGACGCUGAGGCUCGAAAGCGUGGGGAGCAAACAGGAUUAGAUACCCUGGUAGUCCACGCCGUAAACGAUGAGUGCUGAGUGUUGGAGGCUUUCCGCCCAUCAGUGCUGCAGCUAACGCAUAAGCACUCCGCCUGGGGAGUACGGACUGCCAAGUUUGAAAACAUCAAAGGAAUUGACGGGGGGGUG
rnacentral:rRNA from 1 species